UACGGGGGGAGCAAGCGUUGUUCGGAUUUACUGGGCGUAAAGGGCGCGUAGGCGGUCGUGACAAGUCACUUGUGAAAUCUCCGGGCUUAACUCGGAACGGUCAAGUGAUACUGUCGGACUAGAGUACAGAAGGGGCAACUGGAAUUCUCGGUGUAGCGGUGAAAUGCGUAGAUAUCGAGAGGAACACCUGCGGCGAAGGCGGGUUGCUGGGCAUUAACUGACGCUGAGGAGCGAAAGCAUGGGGAGCGAACAGG
rnacentral:rRNA from 1 species